GGAAGUAAAUGGGUCCUGGGGGCCCCGCGGUCUUCAACACCGUUGUCAGCCUAUCGGCUGAGGUAGGUUCGAUUCCUGCUGCUUCC
rnacentral:tRNA from 1 species